CUUAAACUCACCCAAACAAAAAGCGUUCUCCCCAAACAUAAACACAUUUCUCUCCCCCGGGUGGCGUGGAUGGGAAUACAGGUUCAGGAACCUCAAGCGCUCCCAGUAAUUGAGGUGUUUUAUCUCCGUUAUGCGCGCCGUGAAAGUUCUCUGUACAUUUUCUAGGUCGGCAAUUUCACCUGCCUUGAAAGGUGCUGUUAGUGUGCAGCAAUAUUCCAGCCUAGAUAGAACAAGUGACCUGAAGAGUGUCAUCAUGGGCUUGGCCUCCCUGGGGAGAAUUGUGAGUGAGUUUGAUCUGUGGGCCCGGUGUGCAGCAGGCAGUGCAUGCCCAGAAUUAAGGCUCCCGGUUGCACGUGGUUUCUGAGGGGAACUCCAAAGGGGCUAAGGUUAAGCUUAAGGAAGUUGAAGAUCAGGAUAUAUGCUGCAACACCAAAAUAAUAGUGGAUAUUGUUUGUUGCUGUAUCAACAUGUGAGGACCAAGACUGUUUCAACCAAAAAUACUGCUGGAACAAGUGUAGAGGUCUUUAAGAGGAAAUUAGACAAGUAUCUUCACCAGGUGCUGGAUUAACCAGGCUGUGAUGGAGUGGGUCAGUGGACCACCAGCAGUAUCAUCCUGUUGUAGAUGAAUGGUUCAGAGAACCGACAUGUUGUUGAAUUAGACACAUGUGCAACUCUUGGGUAUCUUUGUUGAGGAAACGUUUUGCCACACAGUGGCUUCAUCAGUCCAUACAAAGGAGAAACUUGAAGAACAGGAGGAGAAUGAGGUAAUCAGUCCCUCAGCCUUGAGUCGAUGUGGUCAGUCCAUCAAUCUUGAAUAGAAUAUGGUAUAUGAGCGGAGAAGCAGCUUAUAAACCGUAGACAGGUGAGGGGCAGCAGUCGUAGGUGGUGUCACAUUUGUCCAAUGUGGAAGUAGGUCGUGCCCAAGGGUUAGGCAAGUGAAGAAUUCCCAAG